rnacentral:tRNA from 1 species
AGUAAAAUCAGCUAAUUAAGCUUUUGGGCCCAUACCCCAAAAAUAAUGGAUAUUACCAUUUUUUACUA